GACGAACGCUGGCGGCGUGCUUAACACAUGCAAGUCGAACGGAAAGGCCCUGCUUUUGUUGGGUGCUCGAGUGGCGAACGGGUGAGUAACACGUGAGUAACCUGCCCUUGACUUUGGGAUAACUUCAGUAAACUGGGGCUAAUACCGGAUAGGAGCUCCUGCUGCAUGGUGGGGGUUGGAAAGUUUCGGCGGUUGGGGAUGGACUCGCGGCUUAUCAGCUUGUUGGUGGGGGAGUGGCUUACCAAGGCUUUGACGGAUAGCCGGCCUGAGAGGGUGACCGGCCACAUGGGGACUUGGAGACGGCCCAGACUCCUACGGGAGGCAGCAGUGGGGAAUAUUGCACAAUGGGCGGAAGCCUGAUGCAGCAACGCCGCGUGCGGGAUGACGGCCUUCGGGUUGUAAACCGCUUUCGCCUGCGACGAAGCGUGAGUGACGGUAAUGGGUAAAGAAGCACCGGCUAACUACGUG
rnacentral:rRNA from 1 species